GCAUAAUGAGACCCUGUCUCAAAAAGACAAAAAAAAAGAAAGAAAGAAAGUGGAAGUCUGUGAGUCCAGCAGAAGUGAGAACCACCACCAGUAUCCUCCUCUUUAUGGAAGCUUGCACUUAACAAAUGCACUGAUCGUGUGCCCCCUGGGCAAAGGGCUUCAUACCUACAGAUGCGGAGUAUGUACAGCAUUUAGGUGUUGAAAGAAGUCACCACGAACAACACGAUGAAAUAAACCUUGGCCACAACAGUCAUUUAUAUCACCUGGACGUGCAGCCCUCUACGUCUGUGACCCCUGCAUGGGACCCUCAAGGCUCUGAGACAUGGCUGGGUCUCCAAAACGUGAUUCUGGACUGGAUCUGUCAAGUUCCUUCCAGCUCUAACCGUCUGUGAUUUUAGGAGUCAAACCAUCAGCAUAUGUCCAAGCUCAAGGGCAUGGCCAUGAAAACACCUCUUCUAUCAGGAGACUGAAAAAUCCAGGCUUUUAUGUGCAGUCACUGUUUUGAAGAUGGAAAAACACAUCUACAGACCCAGCACAGCACGGUAUAAAGCCUCCGGCAGGAGUUGGGGUCUUGCUAUGCAGUUCAGGCUGGCCUUGAGCUCUC